AGUGAACGCUGGCGGUAGGCCUAACACAUGCAAGUCGAACGGCAGCACAGGAGAGCUUGCUCUCUGGGUGGCGAGUGGCGGACGGGAGAGGAAUACAUCGGAAUCUACCUUGUCGUGGGGGAUCACGUAGGGAAACUUUCGCUAAUACCGCGUACGACCUACGGGUGAAAGGGGGAGACCGCAACGACUUCCGCUCAUAGGUGCGCCGAUGUCCGAUUAGCUAGUUGGCGGGGUAAUGGCCCACCAAGGCGACGAUCGGUAGCUGGUCUGAGAGGAUGAUCAGCCACACUGGAACUGAGACACGGUCCAGACUCCUACGGGAGGCAGCAGUGGGGAAUAUUGGACAAUGGGCGCAAGCCUGAUCCAGCCAUACCGCGUGGGUGAAGAAGGCCUUCGGGUUGUAAAGCCCUUUUGUUGGGAAAGAAAUCCUGUCGAUUAAUACUCGGUGGGGAUGACGGUACCCAAAGAAUAAGCACCGGCUAACUUCGUGCCAGCCGCCGCAGUAAGAC
rnacentral:rRNA from 1 species